rnacentral:rRNA from 1 species
UACGUAGGGUGCAAGCGUUAAUCGGAAUUACUGGGCGUAAAGCGUGCGCAGGCGGCUAUGCAAGGCAGAUGUGAAAUCCCCGGGCUCAACCUGGGAACUGCAUUUGUGACUGCAUGGCUAGAGUACGGUAAAGGGGGAUGGAAUUCCGCGUGUAGCAGUGAAAUGCGUAGAUAUGCGGAGGAACACCGAUGGCGAAGGCAAUCCCCUGGACCUGUACUGACGCUCAUGCACGAAAGCGUGGGGAGCAAACAGG